rnacentral:rRNA from 1 species
CCUACGGGAGGCAGCAGUAGGGAAUCUUCCGCAAUGGACGAAAGUCUGACGGAGCAACGCCGCGUGAACGAUGAAGGCCUUCGGGUCGUAAAGUUCUGUUGUUAGGGAAGAACAAGUGCUAGUUGAAUAAGCUGGCACCUUGACGGUACCUAACCAGAAAGCCACGGCUAACUACGUGCCAGCAGCCGCGGUAAUACGUAGGUGGCAAGCGUUGUCCGGAAUUAUUGGGCGUAAAGCGCGCGCAGGCGGUUUCUUAAGUCUGAUGUGAAAGCCCCCGGCUCAACCGGGGAGGGUCAUUGGAAACUGGGAAACUUGAGUGCAGAAGAGGAAAGUGGAAUUCCAAGUGUAGCGGUGAAAUGCGUAGAGAUUUGGAGGAACACCAGUGGCGAAGGCGACUUUCUGGUCUGUAACUGACGCUGAGGCGCGAAAGCGUGGGGAGCAAACAGGAUUAGAUACCCUGGUAGUCCACGCUGUAAACGAUGAGUGCUAAGUGUUAGAGGGUUUCCGCCUUUAGUGCUGAAGUUAACGCAUUAAGCACUCCGCCUGGGGGAGUACGUCGCGAGACAGAACGUACAANAGAAGUUAGUACGGCGUGAGACGUCGCCGACGGACGACGACCGAGGGAGGUUAGGAG